rnacentral:rRNA from 1 species
AUACGGAGGGUGCAAGCGUUGUUCGGAAUCACUGGGCGUAAAGGGCGCGCAGGCGGUUUGGUAAGUCAGAUGUGAAAGCCACGGCUCAACCGUGGAAGUGCAUUUGAAACUGCCAGACUUGAGUACCAGAGGGGAAAGUGGAAUUCCCGGUGUAGAGGUGAAAUUCGUAGAUAUCGGGAGGAAUACCGGUGGCGAAGGCGACUUUCUGGCUGGAUACUGACGCUGAGGCGCGAAAGCGUGGGGAGCAAACAGGAUUAGAAACCCUAGUAGUCC